ensembl:snRNA U6 U6 spliceosomal RNA
GUGCAUACUUUGGCAGCACAUACACUAAGGCUGAGCAAUACAGAAAAGGUUAGCAUGACCCCUGAACAAGGAUAACAUGCAAACUCAUGAAGUGGUCCAUAUUAAA